rnacentral:rRNA from 1 species
UAACACAUGCAAGUCGAGCGGCAGCGACAUAAAUAAUCCUUCGGGUGGGUUUAUGGGCGGCGAGCGGCGGACGGGUGAGUAAUGGCUGGGAAUAUGGCCUGGUGGGGGGGGAAAACCAUUGGAAACGAUGGCUAAUAACGGAUAAUCUCUUCGGAGCCAAGAGGGGGAACUUCGGGCCUCUCGCGUCAGGAUUAGCCCAGGUGAGAUUAGCUAGUUGGUGAGGUAAGAGCUCACCAAGGCGACGAUCUCUAGCUGGUCUGAGAGGAUGAUCAGCCACACUGGAACUGAGACACGGUCCAGACUCCUACGGGAGGCAGCAGUGGGGAAUAUUGCACAAUGGGGGAAACCCUGAUGCAGCCAUGCCGCGUGUGUGAAGAAGGCCUUCGGGUUGUAAAGCACUUUCAGUUGUGAGGAAGGCAUGUACGUUAAUAGCGUAUGUGUUUGACGUUAGCAACAGAAGAAGCACCGGCUAACUCCGUGCCAGCAGCCGCGGUAAUACGGAGGGUGCGAGCGUUAAUCGGAAUUACUGGGCGUAAAGCGCAUGCAGGCGGCUUGUUAAGCCAGAUGUGAAAGCCCGGGGCUCAACCUCGGAAUAGCAUUUGGAACUGGCAGGCUAGAGUCUUGUAGAGGGGGGUAGAAUUUCAGGUGUAGCGGUGAAA